rnacentral:rRNA from 2 species
UCCAGGUAAAUCCGGUACCUUUUAACGCUGAGGUGUGAUGACGAGGCACUACGGUGCUGAAGUAACAAAUGCCCUGCUUCCAGGAAAAGCCUCUAAGCAUCAGGUAACAUUGAAUCGUACCCCAAACCGACACAGGUGGUCAGGUAGAGAAUACCAAGGCGCUUGAGAGAACUCGGGUGAAGGAACUAGGCAAAAUGGUGCCGUAACUUCGGGAGAAGGCACG